AUUUUUGCCUCUGUUUAACUUCUGCAGAUAUUCUAAUACUGUCCUUUAUCCUUUCAUUUUCCUGAUGUAAAGAAAAAAUGCUUGGUCAUUGCUAUCUUUGAUCAGACUCAUUCAAAAAAUCAUUUCAUAGACUUGUCACUUCUCUAGUUCUCUUUUCUGUAGAAUACAUUUGGUCACUAACAUUUCCUAUUCUUCUGCAAAAUCUAUUCUCUUUUUUUCCCAGCAAUGAGCACUUUGCUGAAUAAGGUGAUGGGUGACUUGUAAGGAGAUUUUAAUGUGUACAUUGGCUCUAGUUCAUAAAAAUGCUCUGCUGAAAAUAUGGACUAUGUGUACAGCUGAUUUUCAUCUUAGGUAAUAAUGGGAUUUUCAUCUUUCGUUACUAUGGGAACUGAACCAUAGUGCCAUAUUAAAGUGCAAGACUGGUGCUAAGAACUUUGGCCAAAUCAGUAAAACUGGUGAAAUCCCCAUCCAUUUGGAAUCUGUCUGUGUGCAAAACCACAGUUCAACUAGAGGACAACGUAAAGGCAUUAGCAGAACUUGUAAUGAGGGUGACCUGGGCUUGCCACAUAUCCAUUGAGUUUCAAAAGAAUACUGUGAUCCUAAUUCUGUGAAGAAAGAGCUUAUGAAUACUCAUGGAGCACAAAGGUGUUCAGCCUUGAGCUGGGCAUCUGAGGAACUGGCAGAAAGAAGGAUGCUGAAAUAGGAGCAUCAAAAUGAUCUUCGUGAGUUAUUACUCAGCCCAGGUCUCCUGGAGUCUCACUGAAAUCUCACCUCAAGAAGAAAGAAACUACAUGAGAACCCUUUUACCAAUUUGUCGAAACUUCAAAGGAUUCCUCACUUUACCCACAACUGUCCUAGGUAGAGAGAUCUAGGAGGGGAAGAGGCUGGGGAUAAAGCUUCAGGCACAUGCGAUUUAUUAAAGGUGGGUCCUCAGGCAGCAGGAAUGGCAAAUUUGGCCAGGCCAGGGAGGGGAACUGAACAAAGAAGUGGUAUGAUGUGCGUUCUAACUUUAGCCUGAUCCCACAGCAGGCUCUGGAGGGUAACCUCAGUCCUGACUUGAGGCAAGGGAGCAGGGCAGGCACACAUAUACUCUCCUUGAUAGUGCUUCCUGCUCAGCCAAGGGCAAUUCUCCAGAGAAGAGCUAUGAAUCUUUAGUAGCUAACACAGAUAGCAUGUGGAAGAAGGGUACAGAAAUUCUAAGGAGGAUGUGGGCGGGGCAUCAGUAGUGUCCACUCCAAUGACUAACAGCGUGAG
rnacentral:lncRNA from 1 species